GAUGAAGAACGCAGCGAAAUGCGAUAAGUAAUGUGAAUUGCAGAAUUCAGUGAAUCAUCGAAUCUUUGAACGCACAUUGCGCCCCCUGGUAUUCCGGGGGGCAUGCCUGUCCGAGCGUCAUUUCAACCCUCAAGCCCCCGGGCUUGGUGUUGGAGAUCGGCGAGCCCCCCGGGGCGCGCCGUCUCCCAAAUAUAGUGGCGGUCCCGCUGUAGCUUCCUCUGCGUAGUAGCACACCUCGCACUGGGAAACAGCGUGGCCACGCCGUAAAACCCCCCACUUCUGAAAGGUUGACCUCGGAUCAGGUAGGAAUACCCGCUGAACUUAAGCAUAUCAAUAAGCGGAGGA
rnacentral:misc_RNA from 1 species